rnacentral:rRNA from 1 species
UGACGAGUUUGAUCCUGGCUCAGAUUGAACGCUGGCAGCACGCCUUACACAUGCAAGUCGAACGGCAGCACGGGUGCUUGCACCUGGUGGCGAGUGGCGAACGGGUGAGUAAUACAUCGGAACGUACCUUAUCGUGGGGGAUAACGCAGCGAAAGCUGUGCUAAUACCGCAUACGCCCUGAGGGGGAAAGCGGGGGAUCGAAAGACCUCGCGCGAUUAGAGCGGCCGAUGCCUGAUUAGCUUGUUGGUGGGGUAAAACGCCCACCAAGGCGACGAUCAGUAGCUGGUCUGAGAGGACGAUCAGCCACACUGGGACUGAGACACGGGCCCAGACUCCGUACGGGAGGCAGCGAGUGGGGGUAAUUUGGACAAGUGGGCGAAAGCCUGAUCCAGCCAUACCGCGUG